rnacentral:rRNA from 1 species
UACGGAGGGAGCUAGCGUUGUUCGGAAUUACUGGGCGUAAAGCGCACGUAGGCGGCUUUGUAAGUUAGAGGUGAAAGCCCGGGGCUCAACUCCGGAACUGCCUUUAAGACUGCAUCGCUUGAAUCCAGGAGAGGUGAGUGGAAUUCCGAGUGUAGAGGUGAAAUUCGUAGAUAUUCGGAAGAACACCAGUGGCGAAGGCGGCUCACUGGACUGGUAUU